rnacentral:rRNA from 1 species
UACAGAGGUCCCAAGCGUUGUUCGGAUUCACUGGGCGUAAAGGGUGCGUAGGUGGUGAGGUAAGUCGGAUGUGAAAUCUCGGAGCUCAACUCCGAAAAUGGCAUUGGAAACUACCUUGCUAGAGGGUUGGAGGGGGGACUGGAAUACUUGGUGUAGCAGUGAAAUGCGUAGAUAUCAAGUGGAACACCAGUGGCGAAGGCGAGUCCCUGGACAACUCCUGACACUGAGGCACGAAAGCUAGGGGAGCAAACAGG